UAACGCUGUACAAUGCUGCACAGUUUUUUCCAUGGCCAUUUAUUUCCUGACCAAAGUCCGAUACAGACCUUAUCCGGCGACAAGAUAUUUUUGUUACAAAAUCAUUUUCAUAGAACAUAAGGAUGGAAGCAAUACCCAGCACCAGUACUCUUUGAAACAGAAUAUCUUCACAAGAUUACAGAGCAGUGGGAGAAGUCAUGUGUGACAUCAGACCUCAACACUAACUAGGAGCAAGAAUGCCAAAGCGACAGACAACUUAUCAAACUUUGGUCGUCCUCCUCCUCAACAUCUUCAUCUUCCUUCCAACACCUCUCAACUUUUCCACUAAAAAGUCUCUAACCAUCCAGAUCCAAGUUCCAGACCAGACCAUCAUCUGAAAGGAAUUAACUUAAAUUGACAUGGUGAUUAACCUACCACAACACAGCGAGUUGGAGGCCAGGAGUGGAGGUCCAACCUACAACUUCAAGUCAAAUGGAAGAAAGUAACACUCUUGGAAGUAGGUUGAAUGAGUAUAACACAAAACAAUAGUCCAGUAGUCCUGUUAUACUUUCAAUGUUACUCAGCCCUGUCCUUGUCUCUUCUAGCUCCAAGACCUUGUUUUCAGACCUGUGAGCAACGUGUCCCACCCAACUCUACAGUACUUGUUGUUCAAUAUUAUAAAUAAAAUGACGGCAGGGUCGUUUGGAAAGACUUUGCACCUACUUCAAACACCUGAUUCAACUAAAAUGUUAAAGUAGUAUGACAACCCCUAACAGUACGAGUGUGCAGUUUUAAUGCUUUGUUUGCAUUUCAGACCUCAAAGUUGUCCUCAACCGGGGACAGAAUGUUAAGCAAACCGUGUGGUAUGUGUUCGAGAAGGUCUUCACACUGGACUUUGCAACCCAACUGAACUGGUUUCGGGAGGGGGCAGAAGACUGUCAUCUGGUCAAUGCAACUGAAAGAUGCUAUUUUGUGUUCUGUUCUUUAAAACCCACGUUUGCCAGGAAUUACUGAGUUCGAGGUUGAAAGGGCGGGGACGGCAGCUGGAGAGAGAGACCUGCGGAAGAAGAGGACGAUUAAUUUGUAGCCUAUAUAAUGCACAGUUCUAUAUCGUGAAGCUUUGCCCAUAGGGGCUUUGCUCCUAUUGGUUUACCCCUCUGCCAAUAGGGAGGCGCUGCCAAAUAUGCAAAUCACACCUCUCAAGGCCAUCUGCCCCAUGCCUAUAAAAAAGGUCGACACACCCCAAUCUGCCUCGCUUCUGUCUUCACGAGAAAGUUUAUUAUGCACUCAGGGAUUUCUACAACGCCAAGGAUGGCUUCACCUAUUUCAGCCACUGGAGCGCUUCUUCUGACGCGGCACCCCGGCCGCCGACGUCUGUCGGCCUGCUGGUGUAGCAAGCUGGACCCGGCGGUGGACCGCUGCAUGCUCGUGACGGUGCCAUCGAGGAGCCUGUGUGCUCCGCCUGUGCCGUCCUCCCUUUACCUGUGAGGAUGGAAAGGCUGGUGUACUUCGCAGAGGAGGUCCCCCUCUGACGUCCCCCUCUGACGUCCUCUCUCUCCUCUCUGAGGAGGACUCCUUUCAGGAGUCUGGGUCGGAGGCUGAGGAGACCGGCCCGGUCUUGGUUCCGCCCGCCUCGGGAACUGUUCUCCUCUCGGCUGAGCGGGUGCGGAGUUGUUCCGGUUCUUCCUCUUCGGAGGAGGUGGUGGUUGCGCCCCCCAAGGACAGGAGUGUCGACCCCCCGGCAGUGAACGAGGAUUUCUUUGCUGCCAUCUCUGCUGCUGCCCAGCGCCUGCGAAUUCCUAGGAGAUUGUUGACCUUUUUGAGGAUGCCCACAGGACGCCGCCCAACGCCAGAGGAGGCGUGAGGUGCUCCUUUCAUGACCCGGGGGACUGUGAAGUCUCCCCUCGCCUUCACCACGCUGGCGUCCUCCCUGGCUUGAGCACUUGGACUGACAAGCGCCCUGCUGUCGGUGAGGGACUGUGUCUCCCUCCGCCAGCCUGGCGGAGAAGCAGUACGCCCUCUCGGUGCAGUCUCGCGACCUGCAAUAACGUGGACCUUCUUGCAGCGGCUGUGGCCGGAAUCUCGUUGUCCCCAGCUGAGGUGAGCGAGGUGGCUCGGGCUUCGGCGGCCAUCUUAAAGCUCACGCAGGCCAACUCCCUCGGCCAGUUCUGAGUGGAGCGUCGCCCAUAGGGUUCAUGCCCUGACCGGUCACUGACGGAUUUCUCGUGAAGAAAGGUAUGUCGGGAGACAGAGCAGAGUAGGACGACCUCUUUUAUAGCCAUGAGAGGUGUGAUUUGCAUAUUUAAAUGUUCAGCGCCUGCCUAUUGGUAGAGGGGUAAACCAAUAGGAGCAAAGCCCCUAUGGGCGACUGGGGUUACGAAAGUAUCCAUCGUUGUUGGGUGUUUUUGUUUAGGCUUCUUUUAUUUUUUUCUGUUCGUUAAAUUGUACAUUCUAUAAAUGAAGUUCAUACCUUAGUCUUUCUGUUCUCGUCACUUUACUUCAGCAGUAGCUGAAACAUCGGCAGUAGAUCUAUUAACCGCCAGCAGUAGAGCUAUUAAAUGUUGGCUAAACAACGGCGGAGAAUCGUCGUUCAAAUAUCGGCGGAAGAGAGCAGCCGACGGCCAUACUGCAUUCCGUGUGUAUGUUGGGCCGACAGCGGUAAGACGUAUGUGUGCUAACUGAGGGAGUACUUGGAUGCAUGUUAUGGAGCAUUGUCCUGCAUAAAGAACAUGGCCUUCUUGAAUGCUGAGGACUUCUUCCUGUACCACUGCUUGAAGAAAGUAUCUUCCAGAAACUGGCAGUAGGUAUGGGAGUUGAGAUUCAGUCUUCAACCCGAAAACGUCCAACUACCUCAUCCUUAAAUUUUAGCAGCCCAUACCAGUAACCCUCCACCUUGCUGGCGCCUGACUCGAAGUGGUGCCGUGUUCAUUAGUCCAUCUGGUCCAUCAAGAGUCACUCUCAUUUCAUCUGUCCAUAAAACCUUUGAAAAAUCAGUCUUCAGGUAUUUCUUUGCCCAAUCUACAUGCCUCAGUGUGUGAAUCUUAUUCAGUGGUGGUCUUUUUUCAGCCUUCUUGACCUUGGCCAUGUCUCAGCAUUUGACACCUUAUACUUCUAGACACUUCAGGUAGGUUGCAGUUCUGGAAUAUGGUGGCCCUGGAGGAUAAUGGGUUCCUGGUAGAUUCACAUUUAAUUCUUCUCAAGUCUUUUGCAGUUAAUUUGCAUCUUCUCCAUGCAUUUUUUGCCACCCAGUUGACUAUUCACAACAAAACGUUUGAGUGUCCAGUGGUCACGCCUCAAUAGUUUAGCUAUUUCAAGUGUUGCAUCCGUCUGAAAGGCAUUUUAUUAUUUAACUUUUCAGUGUUAAAUCUAUUUAUUGGCCCAUUUUACCUGAGGUCAUGAAGCUGCCUAAUAAUUCUGCACACCUUGAUAUAAGGUGUUAUUCACUUACAUCACCCCCUCCCUCAUUACACAAAUGUAUCACCUAAAAAUUAUUCAAAUUCAAUGAGCAUUCAAGUUUAUAUGAUUUGGAGUUGGAAAAUUUGCAUAGAAAUAUGAUCAGAAUAUUCACUUGCCUAAUAAUUGUGCACGUAUUGUACAAUGUUGAGGUAUGUUCUCUCAUCUGUCAUAUUAUUUGGUAAAAAAAUAUACAACCAUAUAUGAUUUAUGACCAGAGUUGAUUAUUUUCUUUUGAGUGCUUGUAUUUUAAUAUGUUCUUGUGACCACAUGACCUGAACUUACUUAACACUGUGCAUGACCAAAUCUUUCUUUAAAGACUGAUGCUUUUCCAGUGCCAUGUUACGUGUGGGGAAGAAAGUGUUCAUUCUUUAGGGAUGCUUUUUUUAUUUUAGAAUGUUUCCACCUCCAUGCUUACUGG
ensembl:lncRNA